CUUAGAUUUCAUGCUUUAUCGUCUCUGCUUGGGUUAUGGGCUGAUCCUGGGUGACUUCAGCUACUUUAAAACCGAAGAUCCCGAGACAUUGUCGGAAGAGAAGAAAGGAAUCAGUGGACAAGUGGAUUCUGCAAGUGUUUAGUGAGAGCCAUUCUGUGUGUACCUGUGGACUGGGCAGUGGACCUGCAAGACUGUGGAGACAGGAUGGAAUCCCAAAAGGGGCUGCAGACUAGCAUGAAAGACAGAUGUGGCAGAUGGUGAUCGUGUGGGAAAAUCAUGGCAGACGCAAGAGCAGUAUACCAGGAGAGUGGGUGAGGACCAAGCUCGGAUGAAGAAGGACUUUGAGCUUUGCCCUGAACCUGGACAGGAGCCAGGAGACAUGCGGGAACUGCGUGUAAAGGAGUGGAAAGAGCCAACAUAUAACACGCGAUAUGCUUCAGUUCUGAUGAGGAGCCUGUGGUUCCUGUGCUGCUGGGUGCCUGUGCAUGAUCACACAGUCCUGGAGGUAAGAAGUCAAGCAGAUGAACUGAAACUGCCAACAAUCUAGACUCGUGACCAUUUCCAAGGGAAGAGACGUUCUCAUCUCAUCUGGGAUUGCCAGAUGAGUCCCAGCCACUGUAGCCCUACAGAAGCACCUAAACAUGAUGUUAUCUGCCUGUGUGUACCCUCCUCCGUGGUCUAAUGCAACAAAGUAACCAUUUAAACAUCGUGGAUUAGAAGGCGUGGCUCUGCAGUUGGGAGCUGUGUCAUUUUAGGAUGCCCUUGGUGGACCUUGAACAAUUCCUCACGCUGCCUAGCACACCGUUCUCUCUCAGAUUUUCUGACCUUUGAGAGAACCAAAAACAGUGGGCACAGAUGGAGAAGGAUGGCUCUGACAGAGCAGCAGGGACCAGGAAGGUACUGGCCUUGCCACUGUCCAUGCAAAGACAAACAGUGGCUGUGGUGGCCACGGCGGCAGAGUUCUGACGACGACAACACCCAGUGCCAGCUGUUUCACAGAUGUGUUCUGGCCUCCCCAGAAAGUGCACACGAGGCCGGAAGGAAACACUGCCUUGGACUGGAGCCACCGCCUGACACAGCCCUCACUCUCCUCGCCUGCAGUUCAUCCAGGGUGGCACGUGGCUGUUCCCUCAUCUCCCACCCCUCCCAUGCUGAACACUGUCUACAGACCAGCCUAUCUUAGAUGUGAAGUAUUCCACAGUGGACGACAGACUGAUGUUCCCAUCUCUAGUCAGGCUCAGUAGUUUAUGUGUCUCAAUUCCCUUUCCCUUUCUUGCCUGGGAUAGCCAUCCAGGUGCUUUUUGCCUUGUGUUUGGGAUACAGCCAAACUCUCCUGCACAAGGAGGACAUGGUGGAGGUCUUUGCUUGUUCCCAGUCUUAGCCACGUGAGGGCAAAGGAAACACAAGGGGAGGGUGGAGAGGAGCAUGGCUGUCAUUUGGGUCACUGUUCAAGGGUUCCAGUUCUGUCUCAGUUCCUCUUGGGGCAUGUGAUUGUUCACUCAGAUGUCUACCAUCCUGCUAGCCUUCCCAGCCGCAACCCAGUGCCUCAGAAACCUUCUCCUUCACUAGAGUGCAGGCCAGUUCCCAGGGCUAGAAGAAGCAGACACCAGGACUGAACGCCUGGUGUGAGGGAGCAGUCACACACUACUGAGCAGGUGCCUCCUCUGACCUGUGAGGGAAAUGUCACAGAUGGGGAAAGCCAAGCUCUCAGAAGUCACAUAGGCUCCUCAAGCCCACACAAGGGUUGAACUCCAGGGCUUCGUAUAUACACAGAAAGUAUUUACUGUAUUUUACCAGGAACUAAGCAGAGGGCUUGGGCAAUUUGCUGAAAUGUCCAAACCUAGAAUCUUGACAAAGUCUCACCAGAACUCUGAUUUCCACUGAGGUUCAAAGUGAGGUGUCCCUCAUGUGCGCUUGUUUGGAAGGCUGGUGUCCAGCUGGGAGUGCUGUCUUGGGAAUUUGUGGAACUUUGAGGAGGUGGAGCUGGCUGGAGGAAGUGGGUGACCAGCAGCAGGCCUUGGGGUUUUAUGCCCAGCCUCACUUCCUGUUCACAAUCUGCUUCCUGGUCACCUGACUACAGUUGCACAGUGACCACCUGACCUCCUGCUGUGGUCUCUCCAACAGGAGGGACUGUAUCCUUUAAAACUGUAAGCCAGAGGAAGCUUUUCUCUCCCUCAAAUACUUCCUGUCCCAUGUGUGACUGCAGCAACAGGGAAAGUGACAGUAUUGUGUCAUUCUUGGGAGUUUUAGAGAAAAAAAAAAACAAAAUCUUCACAGGGGCCAGAGAAGGACAGCGGGGAACUCAGGCGUGCUAGGCUGGCCCUGGCUUGCCACUGAAUGAGGGAGCUCUGGCAAAUACUUAAACCCCGCCUACCCCCUGCAAGCAGUCAUCCAGCUCAGAGAUCCCAGGAAAGGGGGCCGAAGUCAAAGGAAAAUUGGUACUUACUCCAGAGGGUGUGAUGAGUGGGUUGUCAGGGUGACACUGAGACCCCGGUGUGUUAGGGUUGGCUUCGUCUCUGCAUUGAUGUGCUGGAUGCCAGCUCCGGCUGCACCUGAGUUUUCAGCCAUGAACCAGCAUUGCUCACAGACUGGUGGCCAUGGUCAGAUAAAUUAACCUCCUAUAAGUGCUAAAAUUGUGCAAACACCUCUGCGGGUGUGAAUAACAGCCCCUGCCCCAGCGGCUCACAACUACCAUGGCCUGUGAGGAACAAAGGUAUAGAUAGGGUGGUAACCAUUCACCAACACCUGCUGACCGACAGGCACAAAGCGCAGGACUCAGGAAGCUUGUUUCUUCUCACGUGGCUGUGAGCUGGCUUGUGGCCGAAACAGGGUGGGGCAUCCAUCAGGAGAGCCCCAAAGCUCAUCUCCCAACACAGAAGAUGCUGAGAGGAUGUCUGACCGGUAUCUCACAUGCAGGUUCGCCGUAGCUCUUCUCUGCAGCUUGCAGAGAUGCUGUCACCCGAGGAAGGGCAUGCUUACACAGGGUGGUUCCCAGACCUAGGAGGAGCGGAUAGUCCCUGGAAGCCAGGUCUUGGUAAAUUCCUCCAAAGAAAGAAUUCGCCCCUGACUGCUGCGGAGUGAAGGCAUUCUAAAGAGACCUCUGGUCCCCUUCUGUUGGCUGACAAUUGAGACAAUAGGUCCCAAGGAGCUGGAAUUUCCCCAGGAACCUCACACGGUAGAAGGAAAAAGCUGUCACCUGGUGCCAUCCCCAGGAGGACGUGUCUCCAGAAAGAGAUUUCACACAGUUCUGACAACUUGCCAGACAAGCAUUCCAGAGAGCCUAGAGCCAAGGCAAUGCUGGGCAGUGAUGGGCAGAGCCUUACUUUAGGAGAAAUGCUUGGUUGUACGUGCCUCUUGCCUUCAAUUUAAAACUAAGCCUCACAGCCUGGGGGAGGAUGCAGCCCCUGGACCUCUCUGCUCCUUUCACCGGGUGGCAAUAUUGAAUAUAUCUUCCUGUUUUCUUAAGUCUUGCAUACCUACUGAGGACUGAGAGGUUGCCUUGCCUAGAUGUUGGGGCUACCAAGGCCCAGGCUUUGAUUAGUAUUUCUAAUGACAACAUCUAGCUAUUGAUGUCUCUGGGACUGGCCUUAGCUGCAGUCACUAGCCUAUUUCCACAUUCCCCAGUGAGGUGGUUUGACUGAAAACAACCCCCAUAGCCCCAUAGGGAGUGUGUGGCCUUAUUGGAGGAGAGGUGGCCUUGCUGGAGGAAGUGUGUCACUGGGGGUGGGCUUUGAGGUUUCAGAUGCUCAAGCCAGGCCCAGUGUCUCUCUCUCUUCCUACCCCCUAUAGAUCUGGAUGUGGAACUCCCAGCUACCCCUCCAUUGGAACUCAGCUCCUCCUCCCACAGCCUUGCUUCGACCCCGCUUCCUGUCACAGGUGAUAUGAAUUCAUAACACGCCCCCACGGUUGGGCAUGGUCGUGCAUGCCCGGUGGGACCUAGUCACUUCUGCCUCGUCAUUUCCAGGUCAAAUGUCUCACAUGACCCAGGACCGUGGCUUUACGUGAUUGCAUGAACACAACCAUGUGAUCUACACACAUGCUUAGAAUGGCCACAUGGGCCUGUGCGCAGGCACAGCCCAGCCUUUAUAAGCACAUCUGUCCCUCUCCCUUAUCUUAAUAAAACUCUUGUCAGUGGAUUCUGUCGUGUUUUGUGACUUUUCCUCGCAGGGUAAGAGCGCCGCAAAAAACCAACAACAGGUAUUCCUUUCUGGUAGAAACUUCCCGCUCCAUACCUGGUCUCAGCAUCCUUUUGAGAGAUUCCAUGCCGCCUCGGUGCUAGACACCUGGAGAGU